UACGGAGGGAGCUAGCGUUGUUCGGAAUUACUGGGCGUAAAGCGCACGUAGGCGGCUUUGUAAGUUAGAGGUGAAAGCCCGGGGCUCAACUCCGGAAUUGCCUUUAAGACUGCAUCGCUUGAAUCCAGGAGAGGUGAGUGGAAUUCCGAGUGUAGAGGUGAAAUUCGUAGAUAUUCGCAAGAACACCAGUGGCGAAGGCGGCUCACUGGCCCGAUACUGACGCUGAGGUGCGAAAGCGUGGGGAGCAAACAGG
rnacentral:rRNA from 1 species